UCGAGUGGAGCCUCAGUGUUCACACUCUCCGCCACUCAAGAUAUGCCACAGCCUUGAUUCAGAGAUGGACUUUGAUCUGCGGCAAUCAGAAGAAUUUUUUUAAGCAAGAUAAAGCUGGGCAGCGUUAGACACAGUGAUGUCAUAAUGACCUCUGGAUAUAGCUCCUCAGCAUAAACUCCAGUCAAUAAGGUUGCCUUCAGGUCGGGAGUUCAACGACUCAGUUUGCUGGCUGAGGGACCCAGGUGGGGAGAAGGAUGGAUUUGGGGCCGAGCGGAGACACGAUUCAUUCUCCUGUUAAAGUGAGAAAUGGGCCUUGAAUAUUCAAAUCAAUUAAACAAUUAAUUCCCACCCUGCAAACUUGCACGUCAAGCUUCAGCCUGUGGCCAAUUUCUUCGGUUGAAUUAUAACCCCCCUGAAAAGCAGCAGUUCCUAAUGGAAAAGCUGACGGAGUCUUAAGUACAUGCGGCCCUGCGACAAUGUCCCCGGCAAAACUUAAUUCUGGCCUGGGAAAAUGGAGGCCCGGUGGCGAAGCUAUCAAAAAUGACGUCAGUGGGGAAAGGCUGUACCUUGUGAGGCCACGCGGCGUCGAGAACCACCCAUGACAGUGGGACCAUCCAGAAGAAACGCAUUGCCUUGGGCGAAGAAUUCAAAUGCCCUUUUUCAUUCUAGGGCUGUUUCCAUAAGAUGCAGCACAGCAGUUAAACUCUAGUGGUUUAACUAAGCUGGAUGUUAAAAUCUGGGCCAUUUGGAGCCCUGGAAAUGUAUGUUAUUGACGGAUGUUCACAAACCGGAGAGCAGUUUUGGGGAUGAAGUAUUGGAAAAACAUUUUACUUCUCUUUGGCAUUAAUUUGAGAAUGAGUUUGUUUGGUUUUUUUUUUUUAAAUGAAGCAUCUCUCUGAAAUUAUUCCUGCUCACACCCCCCUACCCUGCAGUGAAUACGUAGAUGUCAUGCAAAGAAAAUGAGGGGGAAGAGUAUUGGAGUAUUGUUGAGCAUUUCAGGGGCUCCACAGAUAUUUAAUGGUGGCAGGUUCAGAUUCUGAUGGGGAGAAGUAGGGUUUCAGGUAUUGUCUGUGGUUUUCUGUAUCUAACGACAGGGUUCCCCGUGCGGGACUUGGAAGGAAGAAUGAAGUCCCACCUUGUUUGAGCACAGUCGAUGCCCGGGCUCCCUGCCACCCCUCAGCCGGUUCUUACCUGAGUCCCCCAUUGGUGCCACUUUGGGUUGGGGAGUAGGAGGAACAGGGAGGCGGGACACCCAUCCUGAAAAAGCACAUCUUCUUUUCCUUGGUCUGUCUUCUCAUGCUCCCUCUC